rnacentral:lncRNA from 1 species
UUUAAAAACUCGGCAUUCAUGUUGUUGGUUUUCUUUAUGCACAAAUUAUUUCAUGGGGUGUUGUCCAACUUGACUCUUUUUCACUCAACUUUUCUUUUGAGUAUCUCAUUAUGGCAUGAGUUUUAGACUUAGGCAAGUGCUUAUACCUCAUCUCCAUUUUUCAUUUCUUUUCUCUCUUUUUUUCCGGUAGAAGUAGAUGUUUCUACACACUUUU